UAGACUACAUGGGGUGAGCAGGAAAAUGUCCCACUGUGACGCCUUGCCUUUGUGAAAGCUGCUGGAACGCAGGCAAGGUACAGUGGAUUUCAUGGAAUGUUUUGUUCAAAGGAGAAUUUCUCUGGCAAGAACUCAGUGAGUCUUGCUCCCAACCCUUACUUCUUCAGAGCCAGCACAGCUUUGGCCUGCUUUCUACCCCCAUUUCUAAUUUGAUAUUCGUAACCCUUAAUAAUCCUUGACUUUCCAUCAUUGGAGACUCCUUACCACUCAUUUUAAAGUCAUGGCAAACACUAAGAAACCAAAUCACCUUGCCAUUUAUGGCUUGAAUGGGUUUAUAGUGUUAGAAAUUAUGCUUAACUUCUUUUUUUCUGACCUCCUUUGCUUAUAUUUUCAAUUUAGGAAGAAACUUUUGAUAGGAGUUAUUUCUAUUUCAAUGAGAGAAACACACAGCACAGAUGUACCUAUGAAAGACAGAGCAAAGCAGCCCCAGGGAAAGGAAUUGCGUGCAGGACCUUGAAUGAGGGACACUCAGGGCAGCCAAAGACAUCAGCAACAUCUGCCAGCCACCUCUGGAAGGCAGGAGCAUCGCUGAAGGCUGGAUGGAGGCUCCUCCAUAAGCGGAGACCUCAGCCGCAGACAGGAAGAGCACUCUUUUUUGACACAUAAAAGAAUGAAGAGGCAUCUGGAGUAGAUGAAUUCCCUUGACACAGCAUGGUAAGUCAGUAGACAGACUUUUUAAAAUGAAGAGUAAUUUAUGGUCUCUUACUUGAGGAUCUUUAUUAAUAAUACUAUCCUGGAAACAGCUUGAAUAGCACCAGCUACAUUUUUAGAAACUGAUAAAAAGUCAGGUCUGCUAAAUUCAAAUGACAUUUUCAAAAUACCACAAAAUACAAAUGCGUUUAUCAGAGUUGAUCACCUUCAGAUCACAGUAGAAAAUGUACUUGACUUGUUUUUGCUAUCAUUUAGACUAAGUAACAUCCUCUAGAGCUGAAUUUUCAACUUUCUGUAGCAAAUACUCCAAUUUUGAAUGCAGCAAGGCAGAAAAGUUUAUGGCUUAGACUGGAGAAAGCCAUAUACUUCUUUACUUCUCUGGGUGACUAUAGCAGAUACGGAAACAAAAUAUCAAGGUCGAUUCACAAGCAUGAACUACUCUGUUUCUUAGUGUCUGUAUAGAUUUUCCUCAAUCAGCUGGGAGCACUGGCUAAAUCAAACUGUAAAAGCUGCUAUUAGUUUAUUAUUAAAAUGUUCAACUUUGAAAAUAAAUUAAUAAAUAAAUGAAACAUAGAACCUCACAGUAUAAGUCCCAUGAGUAUAGAGAACAGAGGCUUGGAAAAGUCAGGUAAAUUUAGGCUUAAACCUACGCGGCUUCUCCAAAUGUGACCUUAGUGGCUGAUGUAAAUUCACAUUCUGAAUUCAUAACCAAUACUUUAUUAUGGAAGUAUUUUGUUCUAGCUGAAGUAGAGCAUUCACCCACUUCUGAACUAAGUACCUGGGUAUAUAAUUAAGGAAACGAAGAAUUCUCCUCAAAUUUAUUUUUCACUUCCUUCAACAACCUAAGACAAGUUUCAAAUUCAAGUUACCAUACUGUACAAUACAAGGCAGUAAACUCUAGCCCUACAUUUCCUGGCCAGGGUAGAUCAGUCAUCCUCAGGCAGGCAAGAAACCAAGAGCACUUUUAGGCUCAUGCCUCUCAGUUUUUGUUCCUGUGUAUAAGAGUCUCAUUUUCUAAUGAGCACUUAAAUUCUUCAGUGCAAUGGCAAUAUUUAUGCAGCUUUGUGCUAUGGCUGCAGGUAGCAAUAAAAGAUUUGCAAUGAAGCCUUUGGGUAUCUAGCAUCCUAAAUUCAGGAAGCUCGUACCAGAUGGGAAGAAUGAUACUGGCCUUUGCAGAAAGUGUCUCCACUGUCAGUACCACCACUGUUCCAUUAAUCUACCAUUUUGCAAUAAAAGGGAAGUGUUGAACAUCCCUGCAACGUGUGCUUUCUAAUGAGUCAGUGAAGGAUUGAUUUUUCCUCUCCUCUGCUGGUCUGCACUCUGGCCACAAAGGUCUGGCAAUGACAUGCAUGCCAUCAGCCCACUGGGGAUACCUUCAAGGAUGGUACCUGUCAGCAGAAUUAAAAGGAGAUUUACAGACUGAUAAAACACUGAUUAAAAAGUCCUUUCUCUGGCCCACUCUGGAGGGAAAAAUAGUUGCAGGUCAGCUGACAAUAAAAGUUAGGUGUAGCUGAAUGUCUUUUCCUAAAAUCCAUUUCAUUCUUCACUGAAGAUACAGCACUUACUGUUAUAUUGUUGCCCCAGAAGGAGCCCUAGAUUAGACUGCAUCUCAAGGAAUAAUUGGACGAGAACUAAAAAAAAUUAUUAUUUACCAAAAGACUUCCAACCCAAACCACGACAGAGACAAAGCCACUACAUUUCACAAGACCAGUCUGGAGGGAAAUUCUUGUGCGUCAUUUAAAAGGCCAUUUAUUUUUAAAAUAUAGGACCCUCUAAUGGAAUAAAUGUUUCACCUCGAGCUCACCUUUAUAAUUUUUGGCAUAUUAAAAUUUGGCCUUCUUUCAUGAAGACUUAUGACCAUUCUUCAGAAUUAUGAGAGAAAAAAUCCAGCAGGACUGUCCGAGUGGAUGGCUAAUGACAGGGUAUCUUUGUUUGUACUGAAAAGACUUUGCUAAGAAAGUUAAAGAAUAAAACCUUUAAAUAUUGACCUUGCCAUCAGCUUCCCAGAGUAUUUUUCUUGGCGGAAGUAUUUUUAAAUUCCUCCCAAAUAGCCGUUUGCUAAUAUUUAAACUUUAUUUUUACAUACUCUUUGAAAACAAACUGGUUUGUUGAAUCUUUUUGUUCCACAAAUUUAGCAAUAAUACGAGGUCUUUUGUUGUAACAAAAACAAUAUUUUAACAUUGAGACAUCCAAAGCUUCCUGCAAAUAAAUUAUCACAUAGUACAACCUUAAAGAACAGUAAUUACAGCACUGACAAAGUUACCUUAAAGGUUAAAAGACCUUUUCCCAAAGUAAUAGAUCCAAUCUUUUCCUCCCAAAGUGUGCUCCAAUCUUUUCCUCUCAAAGCUCUAGAGGAGUAGAGAGAUGAGUGGCCAAGCUUGAAUAAGUCUGAAAAUCCCAGACUGCA